UACCCGCAGCACAAGUGGUGGUCAUUAUUAUUGGGCCUAAAGCGUCCGUAGCUGGCUUGUUAGAUGCCUGGGUAAAUCGAUGCGCUCAACGUAUCGAAAUCCGGGUAGACCGGCAAGCUUGGGACCGGGAGAGGCGUGAGCUACUCGGGGGGUAGGGGUAAAAUCCGUUGAUCCAUUGAAGACCACCAGUGGCGAAGGCGGCUUGCCAGAACGCACUCGACGGUGAGGGAUGAAAGCUGGGGGAGCAAACCGG
rnacentral:rRNA from 1 species